rnacentral:misc_RNA from 1 species
AAGUCGUAACAAGGUUUCCGUAGGUGAACCUGCGGAAGGAUCAUUAUAAAAUCUUAGUUUGGUCUCCUUGUGAGAUCAUUCAACCCUUGUGAACUAGUUGAUUCCGAUCCCUUUGAGUUUGGCCUUAGGUUCUGUGUGUCUGGAGCUGGUUAGGUUUGAGUCUGGUUUAUUCUGGAUUCGCCUUGCUGGUUCGACCUGGGAUCUUUGGUCUUUAGGCUCAAAGGGAAAGGAUAGCCAAUCCCUAGGUUUGACCUUAGGGUCUUGACUUAGGAAUGGUUCCCCUUUAAUUUAACUUGUCUUGUUUGGUUUGUUGGAUGGUGUUCGCAGCCGAAAGGCGGAACUUUUGAAUUUAAAUACAACUUUCAGCAACGGAUCUCUUGGCUCUC